GCACUGCUCACAGGUCCCCCAGGCGUGAGAGUCAGACCUCAAAGCAGCAAGUGCGAAGCUAAGAUCCCACAUGGACACACCUGGGUUCCUCAGCAGCUAUGCCUGAUCAGAGGCUGACCCAUACUCACACUUCCGCAGAGGUCUGACCUUUCAUCUCACAUUUGAUCUCUGGUGCCUAUGACGUGCUGGGACUUGGUUUCACCUCCUGGAAUGAUGUGGAGUGGUUGGUCACUGGCAGAUUCUCACCAAAAGUAGGAAAUUUGUGCAGAAUGUUUUGCCUUUGAGAGAAGAGCAGUUCUUUAGUAAGCAGAGCAGCAUCAAGAAGGAACAUGCCAAUUGCCUACAUACGCAGGAUGGGUGUUCGAUUGUAAUUGUGCCUACCGACUCUAUAUCUUCCAUGCUAGCUGGCUGGCUUCUGGUGACGUUUUAGAAAACAUCUGGGAGAAAAAGACAAAAAGACAAAAAGAAUGAUAUACUUACAUGAAGACAUACUUGAUGCAAGUUUUGUGGUAAGCUAAUGUACAGCAUGCUCCUUGUGCUACUGUAUGCAUAACAUAGUGUAGAAAAAGCCAUCUGGGAGAAAACUACUAUGUUGAGGGGCGGAAAGAAGGUAUCUUGAGGAAAACAGCUCAGUGAUGAUGAUACUAGCACAGGUCUCGAGGGUCUUGGGUCAGUCUUUGCUUUACCACGGUCUUAAUCACUGAGCUGAUUGGUGCACUCGGGCUUUUCCAGAUCGACUCUUUGCAGAUCCAAUCAUUUCCAGAACUUUCCAGAUGUGCUCAGAUUUUUCUAGACCCAAGAAGAGAUUUCCUUGCCUUCAGGCUACCUGUUUCAAUGCGUACAGCUUAAGCAUUGAGCUGCCAGUGCAAAACUCAGGACACUGUAACAGACAUCAUAGAAAGAAUAAUGAAUGUCAGACUGAGAUUCAAACCAGCUAGUUCUCUGCCUUAUAAUCAGUAAAUAGUCAGUAACAAAAUGCUGAUCCUAUGCCAUAUGCUUAGACCAGUCCUUUAGCAAGACUAAAAACCCUAAGGGUGCCAGGCUGUCAGUCUCUGCAGUGCUAUUUUUAAUAAGCUCAGCAAAAUCUUGUGUCUAUUACAAUACAGUUGCCCUCCUACAUAAUAACCUAAUAGCUGAAACACCAAGUAGAGAAUCCACUUUCACACUCAUCUAAAUGUGAACAAACAGACAAACUUUUCACCUCGUGGUCAGCUUCCAGAUACUAGAUUGUGAACUAUUUUGGGAACAAGCUACAGCUCUCCUGCAGAACUUGUCUGCAUAUGUAUAACAAAAUUUAGGGUACCCUGUAUCAGAAGAAGGAAUAAGAAGGAGCAUGACUACAGGUAGUUUCUUGCUGAAGAGAAGAGCCCUGUUGUGUGUGAUCGUGUGACUGUUAUAAUUAAACACAGAAAAAGCCACUUGAUCAGAAGAACCUCCUAACUUAUGCAGCAAAUGCUUACAUCUUUUGUGAUGAAAAACUGACUCAUACUGCUAUCCUCGUCACGUUGUCUCAUACAAAAGAAUCAUGCCUCUCCCAGGUUUAACUCGUCUUGGAUUCUCUUCCGUACAAUGACAGCUUCACUGAAAAGAAUGAAAAAUGUUCCUUCUUUGUUCCCCAGAGCAGUUUAUGGCUUUGUGGUUAAAAUAUACUGAAAGGAAUAUGAAACAUGGAUCUGAACCUAACCUCAGUCAGUGGAGGACUUUGAAAACAAGUUGCUUACGUAGCCAAGCAUUAUGCUGUAAUCUACCACAGACAUAUCACAUGCCAUUGUAAAAGUGAACAGUCUCCUUCCUUAUGGGAAGAUAAGGAGUUUGGGCCUGUACAUGUGCUUUAGUUGUGGACAGAUACCUGCUGGGCUGACAACUUGAGGUUGAUUAUUGCACUCAGGUUUUCAUAUAAGCUAGGCAAUGACUUCCCAGCCUUGUCAAGGCCAAGACUCUGCUUAAGGCUUGCUUAGGGCUUCAGGCACUUGAGGCUCUCAAAGGCUGAGAAAUUAAGUGCUAGAAGAGCUUAUGUGCUGUCACAUGUAGGGACCAGCUGAAAGAGGCUUUCCAGAGUCACUGGUUUUUAUUUAUGUCUGAAUAUUACCGCCAGAUUACUUGAAACACAUGCAGGUUUGUUGGUUGUGUUUUUCUUUGAUAAGGCUCAAGACCAUGUGGUAGCAUAGUGUGAGAACUGUAGGAAUUUUCCUAGCUGUCUCAAUUUGGAAAAAAAUAAUCACAUUGAAGCUUGUUUUUACAAAAAUAAAGCUUAAUAGGACAGCCUUUCAGCCUCGCAUCUAAAUAUCCUGGCUUCUGUGUAUCUGCAGAAUGUUGUAUUUGUAUUCUAAGACAAUUGUUAUGCUAUUUUCUCUCUGUAAUUUUUCUCUCU